rnacentral:rRNA from 1 species
CAGCAGCCACGGUAAUACGUAGGUGGCAAGCGUUGUCCGGAAUUAUUGGGCGUAAAGGGCUCGCAGGCAGUUUCUUAAGUCUGAUGUGAAAGCCCCCGGCUCAACCGGGGAGGGUCAUUGGAAACUGGGAAACUUGAGUGCAGAAGAGGAGAGUGGAAUUCCACGUGUAGCGGUGAAAUGCGUAGAGAUGUGGAGGAACACCAGUGGCGAAGGCGACUCUCUGGUCUGUAACUGACGCUGAGGAGCGAAAGCGUGGGGAGCGAACAGGAUUAGAUACCCCAGUAGUCCCUGUCUCUUAUAA